AGCAGCCGCCACGGUAAUACGAGGGGGGCAAGCGUUGUUCGGAAUUAUUGGGCGCAAAGGGUGCGUAGGCGGUUUGGCAAGUCUUGUGUGAAAUCUUCGGGCUCAACCCGAAGCCUGCACGAGAAACUGCCGGGCUUGAGUAUUGGAGAGGUGAGUGGAAUUUCCGGUGUAGCGGUGAAAUGCGUAGAUAUCGGAAGGAACACCUGUGGCGAAAGCGGCUCACUGGACAAUAACUGACGCUGAUGCACGAAAGCUAGGGGAGCAAACAGGAUUAGAUACCCCGGUAGUCCCUGUCUCUUAUAC
rnacentral:rRNA from 1 species